CCUACGGGAGGCAGCAGUGGGGAAUUUUGGACAAUGGGGGAAACCCUGAUCCAGCAAUGCCGCGUGUGUGAAGAAGGCCUUCGGGUUGUAAAGCACUUUAGUCCGGAAAGAAA
rnacentral:rRNA from 1 species